UACAGAGGGUGCAAGCGUUGUUCGGAAUUAUUGGGCGUAAAGCGCGUGUAGGCGGCUUAGCAAGUCGGGCGUGAAAGCCCUCGGCUCAACCGAGGAAGUGCACCCGAAACUGCUGAGCUUGAGUGCCGGAGAGGAUGGCGGAAUUCCCCAAGUAGAGGUGAAAUUCGUAGAUAUGGGGAGGAACACCGGUGGCGAAGGCGGCAUCCUGGACCGGCAUUGACGCUGAGGCGCGAAAGCCAGGGGAGCAAACGGG
rnacentral:rRNA from 1 species